rnacentral:rRNA from 1 species
UGGGGAAUAUUGGACAAUGGGCGCAAGCCUGAUCCAGCCAUGCCGCGUGAGUGAUGAAGGCCCUAGGGUUGUAAAGCUCUUUCACCGGUGAAGAUAAUGACGUUAACCGGAGAAGAAGCCCCGGCUAACUUCGUGCCAGCAGCCGCGGUAAUACGAAGGGGGCUAGCGUUGUUCGGAUUUACUGGGCGUAAAGCGCACGUAGGCGGACGAUUAAGUCAGGGGUGAAAUCCCGGGGCUCAACCCCGGAACUGCCUUUGAUACUGGUAGUCUUGAGUUCGAGAGAGGUGAGUGGAAUUCCGAGUGUAGAGGUGAAAGUCGUAGAUAUUCGGAGGAACACCAGUGGCGAAGGCGGCUCACUGGCUCGAUACUGACGCUGAGGUGCGAAAGCGUGGGGAGCAAACAGG